AGGGUUAAAGUUUAUAAAAACAUCUAAGUUGCAAUUAGAAAAAACAAUUUUGUUAACCUGA
rnacentral:tRNA from 1 species